UAAACCAGCAUCCCUCACGCUAUCUGCAAAAGGAAGAGCAGCUGUUUGCAGCCGCUGCAACCAUGCAAUCCAUAUGCCGGGAGUCUUUAGUUGAAGGAAAAUUUCUCUGUAUUCCUUUAGGAAUAUGUCUAAUGCAAACAAGCAGAGGUUACUUCCUCUUCGAUUUCCUCCAUAGCUCCAUCCCAUCAAGACAUUCAAUACUGUCCAAGCAGAUCCACUUUAAGACGAUAACUCUGAAAAAGUUCUGCAUGGGUGGCAACAUUAUUCAC
rnacentral:misc_RNA from 1 species